rnacentral:piRNA from 1 species
UGAAGCACAGGAGUGAGCCUAUACGGCGG